UGGUCGGCGAACUAGAACCAGAGGCUCCGCCCAUCCGGGCUGAUCUGGGGGCGGGCCCUGGUGGGGACGAGGCCUAGUUGGGGCGGGGCCAUCGGGAGGCGUGGCUCCGCCAGGCGCGCCAAGGUCCUAGUAGUUCAAACCUGCCGGGUUCUCAAAUUGGCAACUCCCACCCCCGGAAUGCUCGGGACAUAUACAUUUUUGUCAUAGUUCCCGCCACUUCCUUUUAGGCAACUACAUGCCUAUUUCCUCCUAAGAGAUGAUGGCUCCGAGAUACGGCUACACCCGAUAAUAAGGCACCCUGGCAGUCCCUUUUCUUUUUGAUUCUUGGGCCACAGCACGGGACCCACUGACCCAGCGCCAAGAACACCCCACGUCUGGGAGGAACCGAGAAACUUCGACCAGUGGAGCCAGUUCGGCCGCACCCGUCGUCCUGCUUCCAAUCUUCACAAAACUGCCGAGAGAAAUGUUCAUUAUUUGGUAAGAACGGAGAUAGGAAGAAAGGGUAAACCCCAAAGAUGGAAACUUAAAAAAAAAAAAUAGCAAAAAGCAAACUCCAGACAAACAGAAAAGCCAAAAACCCUGCGAGGGGUUACUGCUCUCCAUACAGAACGGUCUCCUGAAAGAAGAGAAACUAAAAAUUAAUCCCAGCCGUCUCUCCAGCUCAUCCGUGGCGUUGGAGAAAGGUUUCUCAAAUGUCUCCGAGCCCAGAACCUUUCUUCUGGGACCCUCCGCUGCAUCUAGAAAAGAAAAGGGUGAGAGUUGUUUGUGUCAGCGUCCAGGUGUGCUCGGCUGGCCAGCGUCCCUGGGCUGUGGCCACUUACUUAGCUCACAGUUUGGAGCAGCACUUGCUGCUGCCCUCGGCUGCUUCUUCCCCAUGGUGCAGAACUGGUUUGACUUUUCCCAGAGCAGCGCAGCCUCUAUAUAUGCAGCCGAGUACGCCUCCCCUUGGCUGGAGAGGACACUCAAGGUAGGUCAAGACUGAGGGAAAAAAAUAAUCAAACCGCACCCUUCAAAGCAUAAUCAAAUUUCAUCUUUGACCGGCCAUGAGAAGGAGGCAUUGUAUUCCUGCCACUCCUGGUUACUAAUAAAAAUUAAUUGAGUUAAAA